UACGGAGGGUGCAAGCAUUAAUCGGAUUUAUUGGGCGUAAAGGGCGCGUAGGCGGAGAGGAAAGUCAGAUGUGAAAUCCCGGGGCUCAACCUCGGAACAGCAUAUGAAACUCCCCCUCUAGAGGGUAGGCGGAGAAAACGGAAUUCCACAAGUAGCGGUGAAAUGCGUAGAUAUGUGGAAGAACACCGGUGGCGAAGGCGGUUUUCUAGCUUAUUCCUGACGCUGAGGCGCGAAAGCAAGGGGAUCAAACAGG
rnacentral:rRNA from 1 species